UGGCGGACGGGUGAGUAAUGUCGUGGGAAACUGCCCGAUGGAGGGGGAUAACUACUGGAAACGGUAGCUAAUACCGCAUAACGUCGCAAGACCAAAGAGGGGGACCUUCGGGCCUCUUGCCAUCGGAUGUGCCCAGAUGGGAUUAGCUAGUAGGUGGGGUAAAGGCUCACCUAGGCGACGAUCCCUAGCUGGUCUGAGAGGAUGACCAGCCACACUGGAACUGAGACACGGUCCAG
rnacentral:rRNA from 1 species